UACGGGGGGGGGCAAGCGUUUGUUCGGAAUUACUGGGCGUAAAGGGCUCGUAGGCGGCCAACUAAGUCAGACGUGAAAUCCCUCGGCUUAACCGGGGAACUGCGUCUGAUACUGGAUGGCUUGAGUUUGGGAGAGGGAUGCGGAAUUCCAGGUGUAGCGGUGAAAUGCGUAGAUAUCUGGAGGAACACCGGUGGCGAAGGCGGCAUCCUGGACCAACACUGACGCUGAGUGAGCGAAAGCCAGGGGAGCAAACGGGG
rnacentral:rRNA from 1 species